CUCGGCCAUGCUAUGCAGUAGCAGGGAGGUGAGCUGGCAUAUGGAGGGUGAGAGGGAAAGACACAUGGAGGAGGAAAUUAGAAAUAGGAGGAUGCUGAGGGCAAUUAGACACAUUGAGAACUGGGGGAUUGAGGCACAAGGGGGGGCUGAUGGAUUGAGACACAUAGGGGGCUGGGGGAAAUGAGUUUGGAAGUUAUACUUUAAAAAUGUAUUACACUUUAACUAAACCAAUUAGAUUUUAGUCAUGUCGACUAAUAUCUACAGGAGAUUUAGUCGACUAAAACUAGAUUAAAACAAACAAUUUA